GAUGAACGCUGGCGGCGUGCCUAAUACAUGCAAGUCGAGCGAACGGACGAGAAGCUUGCUUCUCUGAUGUUAGCGGCGGACGGGUGAGUAACACGUGGAUAACCUACCUAUAAGACUGGGAUAACUUCGGGAAACCGGAGCUAAUACCGGAUGAUAUUUUGAACCGCAUGGUUCAAAAGUGAAAGACGGUCUUGCUGUCACUUAUAGAUGGAUCCGCGCUGCAUUAGCUAGUUGGUAAGGUAACGGCUUACCAAGGCAACGAUGCAUAGCCGACCUGAGAGGGUGAUCGGCCACACUGGAACUGAGACACGGUCCAGACUACUAAGGGAGGCAGCAGUAGGGAAUCUGCCGCAAUGGGCGAAAGCAUGACGGAGCAACGCCGCGUGAGUGAUGAAGGUCUUCGGAUCGUAAAACUCUGUUAUUAGGGAAGAACAUAUGUGUAAGUAACUGUGCACAUCUUGACGGUACCUAAUCAGAAAGCCACGGCUAACUACGUG
rnacentral:rRNA from 1 species